AUGCAAUCCCAAUCCCAGAGAAAGGCAAUGCCAAGGAAAUGCUCAAAGUACUGCACAAUUGCACUCCUCUCACACACUAGUAAAGUAAUGCUCAAAAUUCUCCAAGCCAGGCUUCAGCAAUAUGUGAACCAUGAACUUCCAGAUGUUCAAGCUGGUUUUAGAAAAGGCAGAGGAACCAGAGAUCAAAUUGCCAACUUCCGAUGGAUCAUCGAAAAAGCAAGAGAGUUCCAGAAAAACAUCUAUUUCUGCUUUAUUGGCUAUGCCAAAGCCUUUGACUGUGUGGAUCAUAAUAAACCGUGGAAAAUUCUGAAAGAGAUGGGAAUACCAGACCACCUGACCUGCCUCUUGAGAAACCUAUAUGCAGGUCAGGAAGCAACAGUUAGAACUGGAUAUGGAACAACAGAUUGGUUCCAAAUAGGAAAAGGAGUACGCCAAGGCUGUAUAUUGUCACCUUGUUUAUUUAACUUAUAUGCAGAGUACAUCAUGAGAAAUGCUGGGUUGGAGGAAGCACAAGGUGGAAUCAAGAUUGCUGGGAGAAGUAUCAAUAACCUCAGAUAUGCAGAUGACACCACCCUUAUGGCAGAAAGUGAAGAGGAACUAAAGAGCCUCUUGAUGAAAGUAAAAGAGGAGAGUGAAAAAGUAGGCUUGAAGCUCAACAUUCACAAAACGAAGAUCAUGGCAUCUGGUUCCAUCACUUCAUGGCAAAUAGCUGGGGAAACAGUGGAAACAGCGGCUGACCUUAUUUUUCUGGGCUCCAAAAUCACUGCAGAUGGUGAUUGCAGCCAUGAAAUUAAAAGACACUUAUUCCUUGAAAAGAAAGUUAUGACCAACCAAGAUAGCAUAUUCAAAAGCAGAGACAUUACUUUGCCGACUAAGGUCCAUCUAGUCAAGGCUAUGGUUUUUCCUGUGGUCAUGUAUGGAUGUGAGAAUUGGACUGUGAAAAAGGCUGAGCUCCACAGAAUUGAUGCUUUUGAAGUGUGGUGUUGGAGAAGACUCUUGAUAGUCUCUUGGACUGCAAGGAGAUCCAACCAGUCCAUCCUAAAGGAGAUCAGUCCUGGGUGUUCAUUGGAGGGACUGCUAUUGAAGCUGAAACUCCAAUACUUUGGCCACUUGAUGCAAAGAGUUGACUCAUUUGAGAAGACCGCAAUGCUGGGAAAGAUUGAAGGCAGGAGGAGAAGGGGACGACAGAGGAUGAGAUGGUUGGAUGGCGUCAUCGACUCCAAUGGACAUGGAUUUGGGUAG
rnacentral:lncRNA from 1 species